AUUGUGUGUGAAAGUUUCUAAGGGCGCAUGGUGGAUGCCUUGGCAACAGGAGCCGAAGAAGGACGUGGGAUCUGCGAUAAGCCUGGUGGAGUCGAUAACCGGACGUGAGACCAGGAUUUCCGAAUGGGGAAACCCCGCACGACGUGUCGUGUGACCCCCGGUUGAACACAUAGACCGGGUGGAGGGAACGUGGGGAAGUGAAACAUCUCAGUACCCACAGGAAGAGAAAACAAAAGUGAUUCCGUUAGUAGUGGCGAGCGAACGCGGAUGGGGCUAAACCGUAUGUGUGUGAUACCCGGCAGGGGUUGCAUGUGCGGUGUUGUGGGCCCUCCUUGUCAUGUCUGCCGGCAUGGCGCAGUGAGGUGCGGGCAUAUAGACGAACAGUGUGGAUGCUGGACCGUAGAGGGUGAGAGUCCCGUAGUCGAAAUGUGUUCCGCCGCUGUUGGGGGGUUGCCGGAGUAGCACGGGGCCGAGGAAUCCCGUGUGAAUCUGCAGG
rnacentral:rRNA from 1 species